rnacentral:rRNA from 1 species
AGAACGAACGCUGGCGGCAUGCCUAACACAUGCAAGUCGAACGAACCCUUCGGGGUUAGUGGCGCACGGGUGCGUAACGCGUGGGAACCUACCAUCAGGUUCGGAAUAACAGUUAGAAAUGACUGCUAAUACCGGAUAAUGUCUUCGGACCAAAGAUUUAUCGCCUUUUGAUGGGCCCGCGUUGGAUUAGCUAGUUGGUAAGUAAAAGCUUACCAAGGCGACGAUCCAUAGCUGGUCUGAGAGGAUGAUCAGCCACACGUGGGACUGAGACACGGCCCAGACCUCCUACGGGAGGCAGCAGUGGGGAAUAUGGACAAGUGGGACAAAGCCUGGAUCCAAGCAAUGCCGCGUGAGUGAUCGGAAGCCUUAGGGUUGUAAAGUCUCUUUACGUGGGGGAUAGAUAAGUGUAC